UAAAAGGGCAAAGAGCUGCUCAGGCUGGUCUGUCUGUGGGUCAAAGUCCAUCGCAUUUCUGAUGAUGUCCACAGCCUGCAUGUUCCAUCGGGGAUCCAGAGGGAUCACGGAUUCAUCUGGUUUAAGGAACAAAAGAAAAGGAUACGCUGCUGCCACCUCUGCUCCUUUGGCUCAAACUUGGUAUCAGAAUCUCUGUACAGCAGCAGCCAUCAGACUCUGACCUGUUCCUGAGGUGGAGAUUCCAGUGGAAGGAGGCAGCUGAGUAUGAAUGAUGGACCCAGAAUCAAGAAGCCCAUCUGUGGCCAAGUUGGGACUGGAGCCUAGACUUCCAACUCCUGUGUUCUUCCCACUACCCUGUGUCAUCAUCCUUUAUCAGAAACUGGAGAAUCA